CAGCCGCCGCGGUAAUACCGGCGGCCCGAGUGGCGGUCACUAUUAUUGGGCUUAAAGCGUCCGUAGCCGGGUUGGGAAGUCCUCCGGGGAAUCUGGCCGCUUAACGGUCAGAAUGCCGGAGGAUACUCCCAGCCUAGGGAGCGGGAGAGGCCGAGGGGAUUCCCGGAGUAGGGGGGAAAUCCUAUAAUCCCGGGAGGACCACCUGUGGCGAAGGCGCUCGGCUGGAACGCGUCCGACGGUGAGGGACGAAGGCCAGGGGAGCAAACCGGAUUAGAUACCCGGGUAGUCCUGGCUGUAAACGAUGCGGACUUUGUGUCGGACAAGCUAUGAGCUUGUCCGGUGCCGGAGGGAAACCGUUAAGUCCGCCGCCUGGGGAGUACGGCCGCAAGGCUGAAACUUAAAGGAAUUGGCGGG
rnacentral:rRNA from 1 species